UACGGAGGGGGCGAGCGUUAUUCGGAAUUAUUGGGCGUAAAGGGCGCGUAGGCGGCCCUGUAAGUCAAAGGUGAAAUCCCUCGGCUCAACUGAGGAACUGCCUUUGAAACUGCAGGGCUUGAGGCCGGGAGGGGGUAGCGGAAUUCCCAAUGUAGCGGUGAAAUGCGUAGAUAUUGGGAAGAGCACCUGAGGCGAAGGCGGGUUGCUGGGCCGACACUGACGCUGAGGCGCGAAAGUUAGGGGAGCAAACAGG
rnacentral:rRNA from 1 species